rnacentral:tRNA from 1 species
UGGGUUGUAGCUCAGUGGUAGAGCGCCUGCCUCCAAUGCAUGAGGCCCUGGGUUGGAUCCCGGCACUACAU